GACGGAGGAUGCAAGCGUUAUCCGGAAUGAUUGGGCGUAAAGUGUUCGCAGGUGGCUGUUCAAGUCUGCUGUCAAAGACCGGGGCUUAACCCUAGAAAGGCAGUGGAAACUGAACGGCUGGAGUGCAGUAGGGGUAGAGGGAAUUCCCAGUGUCGCGGUGAAAUGCGUAGAGAUUGGGAAGAACACCGGUGGCGAAAGCGCUCUGCUGGACUGCAACUGACACUGAGGGAAGAAAGCUAGGGGAGCGAAAGGG
rnacentral:rRNA from 1 species